AUGACUUCCGACUUCCAAGCCCGGGCUCUUUCCUCUGAGACACGCUACUUCCAUCCCUGGCCGAUCCCCGCUCCGGCCCCGUCCUCUGUCCCACCCCCCUUUCGGUCCCUUGUCCCCCCUCCUCCAGCCCCCAUCCUCCAGUCCGCCCUCCGGUCCCCGCUCUGGGCUCCCUACUCCAACCUCCCUUCCAGUCCCUCCCUUCUCCUGUCCCCCAUCCUCCAGUCCCCCCCGACCCCCUCCUCCAGGCCCCUUCCUCCGGCCCCCUCCUCCAGUCCGGCCUCUCCGUCCCCCCUCGGGCCCCCUCCUCCUGUCCCCCUCCCUCCAGUCCCCCCCCUGCUCCUGUGCCGCCCAGUCUUGUCCCCCCCGCCCUUCCAGGCCGCCCCCUCAGUCCGCCCUCUGGUCCCCCUCCUCCUGCCCCCCCUCCCCCAGCCCUCUCUCUUCCAGCCCCCCUUCCAGGCUCCCCCGUCCAGUCCCCCCCUCCUUCUGUUCCCCCUCCUCCAGUCCCCCUCAGCCCCCCCUCUGGUUCCCCUCUUCCAGGCCCCCUCCUCCAGGCCCCCUCCUCCAGUCCCCCCCUCCUCCAACACCCCUCUGUCCCCCUUCUCCAGCCCUCCCUCCUCCAGCCUCCCCCUCCUCCUGUUCCCCCUCCUCCCGUCCCCCCUCCUCCGGCCCGCCCUCCGGCGUUUGGCCCAGGUUUCCUUAGGCUGGGAGGGCGAUGAUGUUGGUCCGGUCCUGUCCUGUCCUGUCCUGUCCUGGCCGGGCCGGCUAGACGCACUUGGGACCAUUCGGCCCCAGGCGGGGACCCUCAACCUGCCGCUGACCGUUGUGCUCCGGCCCCCCGCGCCCCCUCCCCCGUCCGGUAACGACACUAACGGUCCGUCCGUCCCGACCUCCGACCCCACGGGGACCCCUCUCCCCGUGUCCAGCCUCAGCCCCGCCGGGGCGAAGAUGGUGCGAGGCCGGGGGAGUUAUUGGGGGGCGGGAAGGGGUCCUUUUCUCUCCUCCCCAGAGACUUGGGGAAAGAGCCCCCGUUUGCGAGUCAGAGGUCGUGGGUUCUAA
rnacentral:lncRNA from 1 species